GGGUUCUGGUUAGCUCUGCGGCAAGCGGGAAGUGCUGGAGGCGCCCAGGCCGGUGCCCUCCGCCCUCCCCACGCUAGAGUGCUUCCCUCGCCACCCCCACUCCCGCAGACCAAGGAGACGCCGACUCAGCAAAAUACAGCACAUUUAUUAACUCCAAUCAUUCCCGGUCAAGAUUUCAGCAAAAUAAACAGACAGUAGAAUUGGGUACAAGUAAGCAAUGGAUUAACAUGAUUCUAUUUUACUAUGAAUUUUCAGUCCAAAAAAGCAUAUUCCUAAAACUGAAGAAUUUCCUCUGCUGCGGCAUGACUUCAGAACGGACACAAUUGCACCACCACUCAUUUUUCUUUGAGCAGUGAGCAUCUAUUCAACGAAAGCUGUGAGACUGGGAUUAAUGUAACAAGUUAUCACCUUUCGAUACUCAGUGCUGACCAAGAGGAACUAGAAGUUCAGGCACCACUAACAAGUGAACGCUGGAUUCAGUUAUUUUAAAGAUUUACAGUAAAAUACUCUGGUUCCCCAAAGCCUGAUUCUAAAGUGAAUUUUUAAACACCUAACAUGGACUCUUCAGUUUUUCUCCUCCAGACCCUCAAUACCCACUUGGUUCCUCCCUCUUGUGGAAAUACCUUGUGAGCCAGAGCCCUUCCUGAGAUGCCAGGGCAGCCCCCCCUUGGGAACUACGCAAACAUCAAACUUCUUAAAGUGCUAAAGCCACAAAAGGGGAAAACCUGUUUUUAAAACAACAAAAAGACCCUCAGUAGUCAGUGUUACGAACAUUUAUUAAAUGUGUAUCAGCACUAUUUAAAUCAAUAAUGCGUUUCACAAUUAUUGCAAAAAAUGUCGUGACAUCAGAACAAAGUGACUUCUAAUAUUCCAAUAAUGGUUAACUGGAUGAAGUUUAUAAAGAAAUGUUAGGCGUGAUACCUAAUUAUUUCUGUACAAACAAAAUGCCAGUAUAUUCUUUCUUAAGGUUUCAGGUUACGGCUCUACACGUGUGACACGGGGACCCAGGUGGAGCAGCCGAAGCCAACCGCGGUCUGCUCCGUGCCACCCGCUCCCAGCAAGGGUGCGUUCUGUCGCACAGCCUCCUCUUGGUGGUGCCAAGAGGGCGACACGCAUUCAGAAUGGAACCAGAACGAGCAAGAACAUCUGUGACAGCCUCACAUCCUGGAGCAGGCAUGCUGCAGAUGGACCAGCACUCUGUGGGCUCUCUCUCAGCACCAGGCUCUUCAGAGGAGCCCAGAGAGAGGAACCAAUGGCGCUGCCAGCCACGAGCCAGCCACACGGCACACACCACUCGGUACCUCUCCUGCUUCCCACCAGGGUCAGGAACUGACUGGGGUGCAGCUCUGCCUCUGCGGAUGAUGCCCACAGCCCGGCCCCACACCAGCACUGGGCCGAGCCUGCCAGAGCCCCCUUCGCUCCUGCCCCCAUUUGUGACUGCGUGGCAGAGGUGCUUCCUGCCGCUGUCUUCUCUGUUCGCCACAGGGACUUCUCCUUUACCCCGUGACAGUCUAAGAAUCACACAUGUUUGUGUAGAAACCCUCUCCUAAUGAGCUCAGCAGAAAAAGGAGUCAGUUUACCGCGCCAUGGGCCUGACUUGGGUGCGCAGGGCAACGUGCUACGCUAAGAAUUUCUGAGAUGUUGCCACAGGGAAAAGCAACAGAUGCAGAAGCAAAAGCUGGAGAGGUGAUUUGUCAAAUGGGUCUUUAAAUUCAACCUAGUGGUUGGAAAGCAGCAAUUAAAACCCCCAACAGGUUCAGCUAUGAGAUGGGAAUCUACUUACGGAGGAGAAAGAGCUGAAAGUCGCAGUUAAGACAGCCGGACAGCCAGUGUGCCAGCAAGCCCACCUCCGUGAGCCUCGGCGGGCACCAACACAAAACAGCAGCUUGCACACAACGCCACCGUGUGCACCAAAUGCGAGGGGGACACCACCUACUGCUGACUUGGCAGCUACAACACCCCCACACCAGCAGGGGCCUCCCGUGCUGCUCACCACUCGCAAAGGGCACCCGAGAGACUCUGGGAGCGUGGACAAGCCUGUGGCUGUCCAGGGGAGGACGGCACAGCAGAGGUGGAACAGAAGCGCAGGCCUCGGUCCAGAAGCAGCAAGGAGACCCGGGUGUGCAGGUCUGGAGGGCACCGGACACGGGCAGAGGGAUGCAGAGCCUGAACUAUGCUUCCACAGUGAACACAGCGGCUCGGACCAUGGGACACAGGACUGGCGGGGUUGGCAGGAAUCUGCGGCCGCCACUAGGGGGCCGGGACCAGGCGGCGGCAGGGAAGCAAAGGCACGGCCACUAGGGAUUUUAACGGCACGGAUGCGGGGACAGCAGGGGGACAGCGGUACAGAUUAAUGGGUGGGAGCUCAGGGUGCUCCACGUGAACUCUGCUCCCCACUCCACACAUGAGCGACACCUUGUUUGUGAGGCCGCCCUCCUCUGCAGGGCCCCUUCCGACUUCCUUUCUUGUGCUUCCUAGAAUCCAUGUAAACAUGCGUUCCCAUAUGAAUGUGUACAUCCAGACCCUGCAUCUGGGCCUGAUCUGCAGGGCACCCAACACACCAAGAGAGACUUAAAGCACAGAUGCAGCUAAGGGACGUGUGAGGGCCAAGCCAUGAGAUGGCCACAUCCUGGACACGAAGCCAGGCACUCCUCAGACCACAAGCAACACUGUUCUCACUGCUUACUGCUUAGAAAGGUUCCUUUCUUCCUUCUUCACAGCCCUGCUCUUGCUCUAAGUAACUGCUUCUGAUCUCAUGGAGCACAGGCUUUCACCUUCUCUGAACAAAAAUAUCUGGGAAUCAGGAAAUAACAGUCACAAAGUCAAGCUAUAGACAAAUACCGCCUGUCCUUGAAAAUUCGGCGGGGGGGUGGCCGGGUGUAGUGGCACAUGCCUGUAAUCCCAACAGCUAGGAGGCUGAAGCAGGAGAAUCGUUGUG